UACAGAGGUCUCAAGCGUUGUUCGGAUUCAUUGGGCGUAAAGCGUGCGCAGGCGGCUGCUCAAGUCAGGGGUGAAAGCCCAGAGCUCAACUCUGGAAUUGCCUUUGAGACUGAGUGGCUUGAGUACGGGAGAGGUGAGUGGAAUUCCCAGUGUAGAGGUGAAAUUCGUAGAUAUUGGGAAGAACACCGGUGGCGAAGGCGGCUCACUGGCCCGUAACUGACGCUCAUGCACGACAGCGUGGGGAUCAAACAGG
rnacentral:rRNA from 1 species